rnacentral:lncRNA from 10 species
GAAUGGCGUGAACCCGGGAGGCUGAGGUUGCAGUGAGCAGAGAUCGCGCCACUGCACUCCAGCCUGGGCGACAGAGCGAGAUUCCGUCUCAAAAAAAAAAAACAAAAACAAAAACAAAAAAAAACUAGCUGUGUGACUUUGGUCUAGGUACUUAAUGUCUCUGAGGAUCUCAGUUUCCCAUCACGUGUAAAUCAUAGUUAGGGGGUAGAGUGUAAUAUAUGUUUCAAAUCCACAGAAUCCUUCCGUGCAUUUAAAUGCACAAAAGACCCCAGCAACUGUUGUUGCCCCUCCAGAAGGGCCCUGGGGGACAGGAAAGGGCAGAGACUAACUUUUCACCACAUACCCUUUUGAAUCUUUUGUUACAAAAUACAUAUAUCAUGUGCAGAUGCUCCCUAUUAAAACAUUAGUAAAAUAGACAGUUUUUUUAAAGGAAAAAGGAGAGCAUUUGUGAAGGCAACUAAGCACUGUGCCUGGCACUUGAUAAAAAAGCAUUUUCUCUCUUUCUUUCCCUCAGCCUAAUCCCAGCCAGUGUGCUGGCCAGGAGAGAGCUGGUGCUUUGUCACAUGGAGGGGAGGGGAGAGGACGGGAGCGAUGGAUGUGCAGGUGCAUGGAGGACUCGCCACCUGGAGAGUCUCACACACCUGCUCUCAGUCUUGCUCCUGUGUGCCUCACCAAUCUGGGCUCCCUUCCAGCCAGAGCUAAAGGCUAAAGGGUGGGCUCUCUGGAAAGGCCAAGGAUCCCCCGACCCCGCCUCUUGGGACAGGGUCACUGGGCUCUCUCCACCCAGAGUCCUGGGGGAUGCAGCAUUAUCCAGGGAGGGUGGGGCGGACGCAGAGGAGGGAGCAGAGUGCCACUGCAGCCAGUAUCUUGCUGGCUUGCCAGGCAGGUUAAGAACUCAAAAUUCAGCCCAGCACCAGGCAAAGAUGAGGCUGCUGCUGCCACUGUGUGUAGAAAAGCAGCUCAGUGGGACCAGAGCAGGCAGAGGCCAGGGCAGCAGGGGGAGAGUCUUCUGGGAACCAUGGUGGGGGUGGUCAGUGAACAGGGGGCUGCCCUGAACCGUCAAAGCUCCGGAAGUUCUGUGCUGGUUUAGGGGCCUUCAUUAAUCCAACAGAUAUUUAUGAAGACUCUAUUGUGGACAAGCAGUGGGACAUAGCCCUUUAGGCAAUGUGUUAGGGCCAUAAGAAGGGGCCUGUAAUACAGAUGGGAUUGAAGGGCAGAGGAAAAAACACCCAGCUCUACUGGCCAAGGCCUCUGAGCACCUACAAUGCACCAGCCACUGUGAC